rnacentral:rRNA from 1 species
AUACGGAGGGUGCAAGCGUUACUCGGAAUCACUGGGCGUAAAGCGCGCGCAGGCGGCUAUUUAAGUGGGAUGUGAAAGCCUACGGCUCAACCGUAGAACUGCAUCCAAAACUAUUUAGCUAGAGUGUGGGAGAGGAAGAUGGAAUUAGUUGUGUAGGGGUAAAAUCCGUAGAGAUAACUAGGAAUACCAAAAGCGAAGGCAAUCUUCUGGAACACUACUGACGCUGAGGCGCGAAAGCGUGGGGAGCAAACAGGAUUAGAAACCCUAGUAGUCC